GGUGACUCUCUCAGGAGGUUGAAUAGGGUUAGAAAGACGGCAUGACUAUAUCUCUAAUGUAGACCUAAAGUGCUUCCUAGAGCUAGGGACCAGGAUUCUAAAUGAGACCUGAGGGAAUGGAGCUGUUGUUGACAAGAGCUGUUAGACAAACAGGACAUGGAGGAGGAAAACUCUGAGGCUUGACUUACACACCAGAGCUGCCCUGCCAGGUCAGGCUGAGGCCACUCUUCGUGGGACUUUCCCUGAGAUCACAGCCUUCCUGUGUUGACUUCCUCCUCUUCCCUCUCCUGCUUCACACACACCCCUACUGGUCCCCCUGG
rnacentral:lncRNA from 10 species